UGGGGAAUUUUGGACAAUGGGCGAAAGCCUGAUCCAGCAAUGCCGCGUGCAGGAUGAAGGCCUUCGGGUUGUAAACUGCUUUUGUACGGAACGAAAAAGCUUCUCCUAAUACGAGAGGCCCAUGACGGUACCGUAAGAAUAAGCACCGGCUAACUACGUGCCAGCAGCCGCGGUAAUACGUAGGGUGCGAGCGUUAAUCGGAAUUACUGGGCGUAAAGCGUGCGCAGGCGGUUAUGUAAGGCAGAUGUGAAAUCCCCGGGCUCAACCUGGGAACUGCAUUUGUGACUGCAUGGCUAGAGUACGGUAGAGGGGGAUGGAAUUCCGCGUGUAGCAGUGAAAUGCGUAGAUAUGCGGAGGAACGCCGAUGGCGAAGGCAAUCCCCUGGACCUGUACUGACGCUCAUGCACGAAAGCGUGGGGAGCAAACA
rnacentral:rRNA from 1 species